UCCAGCAGUUAGAGCAGAGGAAACUCCCUGAAGAAGGGAGGAGCUGAGAUCCCAGGCUGGGAGAGCAGGCUUGUGUUAAGCAUUACUUAAUCUUUAAUUGCUCCCUGCCUGAAUCUACCAGCCAGCGAAUGACAACUGACUGAGUAUAAAUACUAGGACUACAGAACCGUGAUAAAAGGAGCCUGAGCUGAGUCCACACACUGGAAGCCCAGAACUGAGGGAACAGAUGAAAGAAAGAAAGUCAGCAGGUUUAGGGGAUGAGAACAACUCACAAAGGACAAGCCAUUGGAGUCUCCUGCCCCUGGCCAGGGAGAGCCACAGGCUGGAUGACAUCUGGUUUAUAGUGAGGGGCAGCAGCAACUCCAAGAGGGGGAAGAUGUGACCAUGAGCCCCGCCCCAGACCCAGGAGGCUUGACCUUGGGGCUGCCGUAGCAGUGGAUGCUCUUCAGCUGAAUGACCUAUCCUGGGCCCGUGACCCUGGACUUCAGCCAGAUCAGCAUCUCAAGGCUGGAGUUCAAUGGCAUGAUCUCGGCUCACUGCAACCUCUGCCUCUGGGUUCAAGUGAUUCUCCUGCCUCAGCCUCCUGAGUAGCUGGGAUUACAGGUGUGUGCCACCACGCCCGGCUAAUUUCCUAUAUUUUUAGUAGAGACGGGUUUUCACCACGUCGGCCAGGCUGGUUUCGAACUCCUGACUUCAGGUGAUCCACCCACCUCGGCCUCCCAAAGUGCUGGGAUUACAGGCGUGAGCCACCACUCCCAGCCUCUGUCUGGUAAUUUAAAUGCUUUGGAGACUCCAAGAUUCACCCAUGUCCAAAAUAAAUUCUAUAUCAGUCAUAGUACUAGCAUUUAGAAGUUGUGUGUUUUAUCCUCUAAUUAUAGAUGAAAUACCUAAGGUGGAAAGGAGUAAAGCAGCUUCCAUGAAUGUAGUGAGAAUGUAGGGGGGUUAGGGACUAAAGUCCUGCCUUAGGAUUCCCCAGCAGUUGCCAGUCACAAUUUUUGUACUCUUAGAAACAACAACAACAACAACAAAAUGACAACCUGUUUUGUUCCUCUGCUUACCCUAUCCAAUUCUCUACACCAUAACAUCUCUGCUUAUCAAGACAACUUGGAUUCUCAAUUUGUUGAGCUCAACAAAUGCAUCUCUUGAGCCCCUGUGGGUAAAGCAUUAUGCUAGUUAUGGCGGGUGAUACAGAGGAAGCACAGAAGAGUCCUUAGUGACAAGAGCUUAAGAUUUCUGCUCUCAGCUCAGCCUGAGUUGCCUGCAG
rnacentral:lncRNA from 1 species